GGCGGGGGUGGCUGGUCCCGCUGGUUUUCUGCGGGGAGGGGUUUGUGUCUGCCGGGGUCAGGGCUUCUCGUUCUGCUGACUAUAGGAGCCGGCACAGUGGGUGGCUUCGGCAGGAGGGCUGAAGUUUCCAAUUCAGAACGUAGAAACGGGCGGGGCGGCCUCAGGUCCCCUCGGUCAAAGCUGUCGUUGCGGCAGCGCCGUUCCCUGCCCUCGCCUCCUGUGCCCUCCCUUAAUUCUGGAUUUAACCUCAGAGGUGCGUAACGUGUGGAUGGCGGGCAUGGGCCUCACCCCAGCCCCAGAAACUCCUUUGUCCCCCAGCACGCGUCCCUAGCAAGGCUGGCGGGUAUUGCUUACGUACUUAAAUAAUUUGUGGGCCCCUCAGUUCAAGAAGGACAGGGAACUGCUGGAGAGAGUCCAGCACAGGGCAAUGAAGAUGACUAAUGGAGUGGAGCAUCUCCCUUAUGAGGAGAGGCUGAGCGACUUUGGGCUCUUUAGCUUAGAGAAGAGGAGACUGAGGAGUGACCUUAUUAAUGUUUAAAUAUGUAAAGGGUGAGUGUCAUGAGGAUGGAGCCAGGCUCUUCUCGGUGACAAUCAAUGAUAAGACAGGGGGCAGUGGGUACAAACUGGAACACAGGGGGUUCCACUUAAAUUUGAGAAGAAGCUUCUCGGUAGUGAGGGUGCCAGAACACUGGAACAGGCUGCCCAGGGGGGUUGUGGAGUCUCCUGUGGAGACAUUCAAAACCCGCCUGGACACCUUCCUAUGUAACAUCAUCUAGGUGUUCCUGCUCCAGCAGGGAGAUUGGACUAGACGAUCUUUCGAGGUCCCUUCCAAUUCCUAACAUUCUGUGAUUCUGUGAAUACUGGCUGGUCUGUUACUUUACUGACCUCUGCUGCCUGUGAGUAGAUCUGCGGAGGGACAUAAGAGAUCACUGGGUCAUUUAAUAGAGUUCUGGAGUCUCACAAGCCAUAAUAUAUAGUUCUGUUGCCUGUAGCUUGUGUGCAGUGGAAGUGUGGCCCCUGGAAAUGUGUCAGUAAAGAUGGCGAUGUUUUUAUUGGUAGCUUUUUCAGUGAUUCAUGGUGUUCAUUGCUCUCCAAGACUCCGCUGUAUUGCAUUUUUUCAUUCACAGGGCUGUAGCUUCUGCAAUGGUAUUUUAUUACACCUCUUUCUUGCUGAAUAAAAACCUUUACAUACAGAACAGUUGCUUUCAAUGGUUGACUUGAUUUUUUUUUUCAUUAUCUCAGUAGUUUGACCUAUUUAAGAUUCUAAAGGUUUCUCAGAGUUACAUUUUCUUCUUACACCUUUUAAUUUUUAAAUAUCCUUUUAAAAAAGGUAUAUUUCUGUACAAAGGGAACUGCCAUGAGAAUACUGCAUACAGUGGUAAAACUAUUUUUUUUUUUUUUUUUGCUACUCAGUCUUUUACCCAAAGAUUGAUCCAAAAUCUACUUUCCAUUGAACCAGGUUGCUGCUGCUUAGUUGAUGGACUGUUACGGUGCUGAAAUUCUUGUCAUUGCUUUCCAGGAUAUCCCUUUUUACCUCCUCCAAUCCAGUACAGCCAGCACCUGGCUGGUUUCUUUAUUUCAAGCCAUACAAUGUUUCAGUAGCCUGUAUUAAGAUGCAUUUAGUAUGAUGUAGGCUUAGUUAAGCAAGCUGGAAGACGCUGUCCUCCUGUAUUACAUUUAUUACUUUAAUAUCGCCUUCUGUAGUCUCUGCAAAUAGUAUUAGGCAGGUACUUCAGAUCACUGAUCAAAAAAUAGGCCAGACUGAGUACUGAUACAUGUAUAGUAGGAAAAUAUUUAAUUUCUCAUCACUUAAUGUUUAUUAUCACUUCGUUGAUUUGUUAAUUUAUCUUGUUCUGUUGCAAAUGUAUGGAGCUAUUUCUUUUAAUCAGUUCUGAGUUAAAUGCCUUUCAGAUACCUAAUUAAAUUACAUCUAAAAAAAUUGCCUUUAGCUACCAAAUUUAAUCAUACCAAAGACUGAAAUCAGGUUUUUGAAAUUCAGGGUUUCAUUUCUUCCUGAAGGCUAAGUUUGGGUAAGCAAUAUUUAGAUAAUUUCUUAUUGUGUCUGCCAAUAAAAAGUGUACUGUAUUUAAUUUUCUCUGUAGACGUGCAGCAUUGGAGCAUUAGUAUGGAAAGGACUGAAGCUGCUGUGACCCUUGCCUGGGGCUCCUGUGAGCUGACUCUUUGCUACAGCCCAGCUACAGGCAGGGAGAAGAUAAGGAACACCAGUGGCCUCUGGUGGUUAUAGGCUAUUUCUGUGCUGAAAAUUAAGAUUGCAGGUUGUUUUGGCAGUGAACUACAACCUAUAACACUUGUACACGAGAAAAGGUGACAGCUGUUCGCAAGAUUUCAGUUGAGCCCUAGGGGCAGGACUCAAACCCCAACUGAACCAGUAUCUGAAAAAACUUCGCACAAGCUUAUUGUUUUGACUACUUCUCCUGAUUUUGUUUUGACCUUUGUUAUCAGGAUUAUUUGUAUUUUUUGUUGAGGUCUUCUGCAUUAGGAUUAAGAACUUUGAAUCUUGAGUUUUGAUUCAGUUUUGGAAAGAACUGAUGAACACACUGCAGGAAUUUAGUUGGGAUGGUAGGUGCAGGCAGCUUCUGUCUAUACAGAUAAUAAUGAAAAUUGUACCUUAUUUUUCAAGUCUAAUGCAAAAGCCCACUUUAAUUUCUAUUUUAUCUUUUCAGCAGUAUUGUACCCUGCAUGUCUUUCAGUGUCCAGCAGGAGUACAUACAGUCAUGCUUAAAUAUGAACUUCAAAAGUCUCUGCAUCAUCUGUUCCAAAUUUAUGUGGCAUGUUUGUCAUUGCCUCUCUGUGUUCUAACACUUCUGCAUCACUCCUUCCAUCCAAAUCUAGCUCUGCAUAGAAGUGGAAAAAACAUCAGAUUUUACUUCAGGAUCCUGUUGUGCUGGGAAACAAAAAUAACAUUUUAUGGUAUAGUAUAUGGAAGAGAUGUUGAAGAACAUAUGAAAAUGUCUUUUUAUUAAUAAGAAAAUCCAGUGGUAAAUCAUAUGUUCAAAGUACUGUCUCUAAAUAUAUAUAUACAGCCAUUUUUAAUCUACUGAAGCUGUUUAAUCUCUGUGUAAUUUCCCUUCUUUGUCUAUGUGAUUGACAUAAUAUUUUUCACCUGCACUUUGCAAAUCCUGGAAGAAAGGCACUGCACACAUAGCUAAAACUGCUGCUUUACUUGCUAAUUAAUCUAUUGCCUGCAUUUGCAGAGAUGCUGUUAUUUUGAAAUAUUUAAAAUUUGUUGUAUUCUGUGAAUAAUUAAUUCAGAGAAUGCUAGAUGGUUGGCCUUUAACUCUUCUUAUCAUUACUAUUAUCUGAUAUCACUAAUUCCUAGGAAGAAGCGAAGCUGUUAUGUCAGCCCUUAAAAUAUGCAACAUUCAAAGUAAUUGUGCUUUUUUAUCUACAGAUGAAUAUAGUGACAGAGAGAGUAAGGUUAACAAGGCCACAGAACAAAUUGAAUUCUAGGUUUUGCUACCAACUAGUGGUACUCAAUGUGCUACUAAAUUUUAAGGCAAACUGAUGAAUCCCAGUGAACCAUCUCAAGUAAAGCUACUUCCUAAGUAGGGUACUAUUUAUUGUUACAGUUGUCAGACCCUUACUGUUGUAAGAUACUAUUUUUAGUUGCUUAUGACUUUGCCACAGGUGAACUGUGUGGACUAAAAUUCCCAUGCCAGCUGUUUAACUUCAGUUUGGGUUUGUUUGAUUUGAACAGACUGCUUCUGUUUGUGAGAUGGUUUCAAGCUUUUUUUUUUUUUAAACAGGGCAAAUAAAAUUAUUUACUGCACUCACCAGUGAAACCAGUGAUUGAAAAUUUCAACUCUAGCCUGAAUUUUAAGUCAGGAUGAGAUCAUUAUUCUCUCCAAUAAGACUUCAAAUUUAUCCUUUUCAUAUAGGCAUAAAAAAUAUAUAUAAGAAUGUGCUCAAUAUUUUUUAGAUUUUAUUUUGAGGAACUGUGUCAUUAAUCAGCUCUCCAUGUUUUCCAAGCUAGGACAGCACAGUGCUUUCCCUUAGUUAAAGCUGUAGUGUUGUAGUACUCCAGGUUGGCAAAUCCCUCCACAAUUUGCUUAAAAUCAUUAGAUUUAAGUAAGUAUAACACUUUUUGAAUUCUCGUGAUUUUUAGCUUUUGCGUUUUCCCAGCAUGAUGGAAAUACUGACACACCAAAGUAGUUCUGUGUUCAGUCAGAGGUGAGAGAAACAAAGGCCAUCACAAUAUUCUACAUACACAGUAUAGCCAGGCCUCUAUAGCCUCUGUAUAGGCUGUACCAGCACAUUUGCUUAGUGUAGGCACAAAACAGUAAACGCAUUUAGAACUGACUUGUUGCCGAAAUGAAAUAACCUGUACCAGGAAGGGCAGCUUGAUGCUUAUAGGACUUAGCCUGAACUAGAACCUGCAGUCACGUGGAAAUGUCAAUAAAAGCAGCAGUCUUCUCUCAUAUUACUGUAAUAGCAAAAGCUAGAAUAGACCUGGUUUGUAUUUAGUGUGUAUGUAAUUGUUGGAAUUAUAUGCUGUAAGAACUGCAGUAUAUGUUUUGUAUGAAGGAUUUCACCAAAGAAGCAGUUUUCCAUUUUUAACAUAUUAAUUCCCAAGGAAAAAGAAAUCUUUUCUGCUUUGCUGGGUUGGUUUGUUCCUUUAUCAAAAAAGUAUGCCUCUUGCUCUUCCUUGGUUUGCUUUUGUAUGGCUAAGGACUUGGGUUUCCAGCCCUGUCCACUAGCUUGCUUCUAAAGGUGCUAUUCCAGUGUAAACCAGUGUUUUGAUUAAAAAAUAAUACUCUAAAAAUCUGGUAUUUACACUCAUUAUAAAAAACGAUGAGUGAAAAGGUAGAUGAAAAUAGUGUUAGCCACUUUAAUAAUAUCCCUAAAAUUCUUGUUGUCAUCCAUAAGGCUGCAUGUCCAGCUCAGUAUUUUGAGGGAAAAUUCACUGGAAUGGUGAGGUAGUAUACUCGUGUACUGUAGCAUAUUGAGACAGUACAGCUGUAUUAGAGGUUCAGUCUUAGACUGGGACUGCUAAUCCGGUAAGAACAACACUGAGUCUAGCAGCUUCUUUUAAUAUACGCUGCUGAAGUUAGAUAUCUCAUGUCUGUGUGGCUUUGACCUGCUGUCAGCUGGGCACUGCCUCAAACUGAUCAUCUAAAAGAUAAAAAUUACAUUUGUUGUCAGGGAGUUCUAACUGGAUAGCUAUGAAUCCCUACAAAACCAUCUUAUCCAUGCUGGGUCCUAUCCUGGCAUUUUAAGGCUCAUUCGAUUUUUAUAACUGAACAGACAUCACAGUUCUCUUGGACAGCUUUCCUAAAUGUGCAGUUAUUACCAUCGCGUUGAUCAGUCCGAGGCUCUGUGACCCGAGCUGUGUUUUUCAUUUGCACUCGGUGCUCCCGUUUUUCUUCUAGUUAUGUCACACACCCCCUUGGUGCCGGUACUCCACUGGCUGUAUUUUCUGUAUUUUCUGUUUGUGGGUGUAACGUGCCUGCAAGACAUUCUAAUCCUUCCAGUACAACCUGCUGAUCUUUCAGCAGCUUUGCUGCAGGGAUGCCAUAUCGUAUUAUCAGCUCUAGAUGGUAUGGGGUCUUGGUUUCAUUUUGCUUUUGAAUCUGUUUUAAAUCAUUUAUCAGAAAUACACUGUAAUGAGUUUCAUGAUGUAUUUCAGUGACAUUAGUUGCUGUGUUGCCUGUACUACAUGAAAUGACAGCCUCUAAGCUGUUUCUUUAUGUUUUCUUUGUGCAUCCUUUUUUUGUGGGGGGUAAUUAAAUUAUCUUUGUGGUUUUAUGAUAGUGCAUUAUAUAAUUUUAAUGUCUUUUUGUGGUUGCAGUUUUGCUCUCUAUUCUCAAGUAAUAAUAUAGGAACCUUCAUAAUCUACUGGGUUCACUGAUGCUUGUGUACUUGGCAUUUAAUUUCCUGUUUAUAUGCUCCCUCGUCUUCAUGUCUUCUGAUAGGCUGAGGUUUAUCUUUUCUGCUUCGUGUUGCCUUUUUUUUCCCCUUCCUCCUUCCUCCACUUCUCUUCCCUCUCCAUUCCUUUUCCCUUGUCUACAAGUUUUGGCACAAUAAUCUCUUUUGCUACAAGUGUAUGACGCCAAACAGAAGGUCCGUCCAUUAUUUUUUGUUCUACAUAGUACAACAUGAGCGAUUUUAUGUGGUCUUGUAAUUUGCUUGUCUUCUCUGCUCUGUAUUGCUUUUUGGUGGGUUUUAGUGUUGGGGGUGGGUUCUUGGGCAGGCCUUUUGCUGUGUUUCUAUUCUUUUGCUAUGUUAUGUGUCAUUAUCUCUAAGGCUGCUCUGUUGGAGAGUUGUUGUCCAUAUUGGACUUGUCUGUAUCUCUUCAUAUUGUUAACAUGGAGCUUUUGUGUAUUUUCAUUCAGUCUCCUGCAGCUUCAUUGCUGUUUCUAAUUUAUGAGCAUUUUAAUCUGACAAUUACAGAAUUCAGCUAUCAUAUAGCUCAGAAAUGUACUGUUCGGCUGCUUCCCCAGAUUCUUGACCACAGUUGGUUUUUUUAAAAAAAAUCCCUUUUCAUUAGUUUGUGACCAAAUGUAAAAUCCAAGAAGGCCUCUAAAGCAUGAACUUCCCUGGUUUUCUCUUGGUAUUAUAUAUCCAGAUGCUGUUGGAAUAUGUAGUAGUCUUUGCAAGUAAUGAUCAAGAUAUGCCUUUUCAAAUACAUUCCUGUGUCCGUUUUGUUGUAAAGAAUGCCCAGUUACUACACGUAUUAUCUUUGUGCCUACAAUGAGUUCAUGAUUUCAUGCAUAUGCAGCAGUAAACUUGUUUCUGACACAUGCAUAUUUCAAUUGUCGACAGGAGUACAGACUCAGAACUUUGUUCUGUCUUCCACAUAUAAAGACCUGUCCUGAAAAGCAAUUUCUGAAAUGAGGUUUUCCAUUUGUAGAAAUUACACUUUAUGUAUUUUUUUUCACUAGGAAGAUUAUAUUUGGAAAAUUGGUUUUUUGAUGUGAAGGAUUAUUUUUUAUAAGAAGAAAAAAAAACACACGCAAAAUAUCCUUGUAUUUGGACACUACUUGUAUUUGUUCAAAUAUAUUUAUUUGCUUGUAUUUGGACACACUAUUGAGCCCUCAGAUCUGGAUGCUGCAUAGACUGUGGGAGCUUGACAACUCAAGUGCACAGGAGUUGUUUUGCUUCUGAAAUUUUUAGUGGAAGUGAACUUACAGACUUUAGAGGUAGACUAUGCAUGAGUUACCCUGAGAUAGGAAUUUAGCCUAAAUACUUUGAUACUGAGGAAGAAAAAAGAAAGUUUUCCAGCUUCAUUCCCACAGGGGGGAGAUCUUAGCUGCUGUAACCAGUGCUCACCCGUACUUUCUUUAGAUAAGUAGCUAAGGGACUUUUAUAAUUUCACAAGCAUAUAUUUUCCCUACUUGUUGAUAGUAGUCUUUCAUGCUGUAUCACACUCAUAGGUGUUUAUUAAUAUAAAUGAGCCCACAGUGAGAAAGUAAAGAAAGAAGUGAGUAUGUGCUUACAGGGAAGGUGAGAGUGAGAAAGUAAGCAAUUAUAUUAGGUUGGUGCAAAAGUAAUGACGGUUUUUGCAUUGUUAAAAUUUGCUGUUUGAUAUUGGAUACAUUCUUAAAUAAAUGUGGUUAUGUUCUACAUUAUUUUAAUCUGCUUCUCUCAUUUUUUUUUUUUUUGCUACUGACUUAUUAUUACUGUUCAUAUUUAUUUUAGACUAUGGAACUCAUGUUAGGCAAAAAGCAAAUUUGAGUGGUUUUCUAAUUCACGUUCAAAAUGGGUCGUAAAGCAGCAGAGACAACUUGCAACAUCAACAAUGCAUUUGACCCAGGAACUGCUAACAAACGUACAGUGCAGUGGUGGUUCAAGAAGUUUCACAAGGGAGGUGAGAGCCUUGAAGAUGAGGAGCAUAGCAGCGAGCCUUUGGAACUUGAUGAUGACCAACGGAGAGCAAUCACCAAAACUGAUCCUCUUAACAGCUACAUGAGAAGUUGCCAAAGAACAUUGACCAUUCUACAGUUGUUCAGCAUUUGAAGCAAUUGGAAAGGUGAAAAAGCUCGGUACGUGGGUGCCUCAUGAGCUGGCCCAAAAUAAAAAAAAAAUAAUCAUUUUUAAGUGUCGUAUUCUCCUACGCAACAACAACAAACCAUUUCUUGAUCAGAUUGUGAUGUGCAACAAAAAGUGGAUUUCAUACAACAACUGGCCAUGACCAGCUCUGUGACUGGACUGAGAAGAUCCUCCAAAGAACGAACUUCCCACAGCCAAACUUGCACCAAAAAAUUGCAUGGUCACUGGUGGUCUGCUGCUGGCACAACCAUUACAUCUGAGAAGUAUGCUCAGCAAAUGGAUGAAAUGCACCAAAAACUGCAACACCUGUAGCUGGCAUUGGUCAACAGAAAGGGCCCAAUUCCUCUCCAUGACAACACCCAACUGCAUGUUGCACAACCAACGCUUCAAAAGUGGAACAAAUCGGGCUACCAAGUUUUGCCUCAUCUGCCAUAUUUACCUGACCUCUCACCAGCCAACUGCCACUUCUUCAAGCAUCUCAACAACUUUUUGCAGGGAAAACGCUUCCACGAACAGCAGGAUGCAGAAAGUGCUUUCCAAGAUUUCAUCAAAUCCCGAAGCAUGGAUUUUUAUGCUACAGGAAUAAACGAACUUAUUUCUUAUUUGCAAAAAUGUGCUGAUUGUAAUGGUUCCUAUUUUGAUUAAUAAAGAUAUGUUUGAGCCUAGUUAUUUAAAAUUCCUGGUCCAAAACUACAAUUACUUUUGAACCAACCUGAUAUUUCCCUGAACAACAGAAAUACAAUGUUUUUAUUAUAAAAAUCUGAUAAAAGUAUUUUAGUUUUAAACUUAAGCUUCACCUUUUCUAGAUCAAUAUAAGUAUCUGAAUGUUCAUGUUUAUAGUCUAGUGAUCUUUGAAACUUGCGUGAUAGCAAACAAAACAAUGUAAUUAGGUUUUUGUGUGUUUUUAUAGUGUUAACUCACGUGAAGGAGCCUUACUGUAUACAGAGUUGUUCUGGGGAUGUAGCUGCACAUCGUGAAAUGUUUCAUGGCUGUUCUCACUUAGGAAUUCUCUCCCUACCACACUCUCAUUGAUUUUUCCUGUCUCCACAGCCUGUCACCCUGGGCUGUGCUGGCAUGAUGGUCCUGAGGGGCACACCGUACUUCAGAUGGAUCAUGGAACUGACCUCAUUUUAAAGGACCGUUAUUGUUAUGCUUUUGGCAAACAUGGCAAUACUGGUGCCGAACACCAAUGCCAGUUCCUCAGCCAGAUAUUAAAGCUGCAAAAAUCAGGGAGUCAGAUUUACCAGAAAUUGGGAGCAUUGCCUUGAUACAGUGAAGCCUUAUAAGCCAGUUCGUAAGGGAACUGGGCUUCUGGCAUGUAGGAAUACCAUGAGUGAGCUUGUAAAUGAGGAAGUGGUGAGAAAGCCAGUAGGUGCAGAAGAACGCAUGGUUUGAAAUGGAACUUGUGGUACAGGCAAUGCUAUGGGUAUUCAGAGAGGAGACAAAUCGAAUAGGCUGCCAGUUGAAGAAGAAAACAUGGCAGAAACAAGUGCUUGAAAUCUAAGAUCCAGGAUGAGGAAAGCAAGUCUAGCCCUAAGUGAAAGAAGUGGCGUAGUACAUGUGUCAGAAGUUUGACAGAAAAAAAAUAAUCCACAGCAGAUUGUGACAUCAAAACAAAAAAUUUGGUGAUGAAGGUGAAAGAUGAAGUAGGCUUUGUUGUGGUGAUGUAGUGUUAUGUAUUCUUUAAAGAUUAGAAUCUAAUGAAGAAACUCCUCACUUCAUCAAGCAACUUUGUGUAUCCACAUGGACUGAUUUGAAGCCUAAAUCGAAGAAAUGCAUCAUUUGCUUUGUAUAACUGCCCAGCAAAGAUGCUAACACUGCUAUGAGUAUCCUAAGACUGUCAAAGAAGCAGCUAAUGCAGGAAACAGAAUAAUCAUGGGCCUCCUUGAUUACCUACAGUGAUUGGGCAAAUAUUACAUCAGACCAUAACACAGAGAUCGCCACCAGUAACUGUGUCAUGGGGCGGCUGGUCAGGGGGAGCCCAGGAGAGUCUGCAGCCCCUGAGGGGUCCAGAGCAUAGAUUCAUAGGAUGAUCAUAGUUCGAAAAGACUUUUAAGAUCAUUGAGUCCAACUGUUAAACUAGCACUGCCAAGUCCACCUCUAAACCACAUCCACAGGAGCCUCAUCUGUGUGUCUUUUAAACACCUCCAGAGAUGGGGACUCCACCACUUCAGCAGCAUCCAGGGGCUGCCUGAGAGGUGCACAGCUGAAGGGUUCUUCUGCAGCGGCUGCUGCUGGAGGAGAAGUCAAAGGGUAAAAAACAUAACAUAGGGAAAUAUUAAGAUACUAAGCAGAAUAUUUCUCAAUAGCAGCUGUUGGUCCUUGACGGCAUUGAAAUUUGGUGAAUGCUGUCCACUUAGCUUCAGGACUUUUCUGGGAACUGCAACUGGGCUUUAUCAAAAAGGGGAACUGUGUAGAAGAAGCCCCUUGUUUAAAAAGGUCAGCUAAGAAAAUUACAUUCUCUUAGUUUACCUGGAAUUUAUUUAGGUCAUCACCAUGUUGGAAGCACAGGGCCAACACACCCUGCGUAUGAAGAAAAGUGUGGGAAAAGGCAAAAGAAAAUCCACAUAGCUAAGGAGCAAGUGACAAGUAUCAUAAAAGCAAGGAAGCACUCUUCAAAAAACUGAUGUCCAUAUGAAAAAAAUAGGAUUGUAAAUUCUGGCAGGUAACGUGUAAAAACACAGUAAGAGAAGAAGAAUUUUGAGGAGCAUCUAGCAGAAGGAUUCACAAGUAACAAUAAAUUUUUCUUCAAAUAUAUCUAAUGUAGGAAGUCAGCCAGAGUUUGAAGAGUCAGGAUUGCAAUUGUGGUAUGAAGAGAGCCUGCAGAGGAGGGUUAGGCCAUUGCAGAGGACCUAAAUUAUUUCCAUCAGCACUCACAGCACAAGAAACAGAACAGGUUAUGAUUAAAGUCUUUGUGAGAGACUCUUCAGAGGACCUACGUGGAGUGGAAGUGAUGGCAGAAGAUAACACAUGGAGCAAACAGAGCACACAAAGAGCAGCCCAUCACUGGGACAGGGUGGUGGUCAUGAGGGAGUUUAAAGGAAUUCAAGUCUAAAAUAGUUGAAUGGCUCCUCAAACAUGACCAUGUAGCUCCUUGUGCAAAGCCGCCUAGGCACCCAAGGACAGUUGGUAAUAUUUUUAAAGUUUUGAGAAGAAACCUUGUGAAUGAUAAAGCUUUUAAUCAUGACAUCUGUACCAUGCAGAUUAGCUAGCAGGAACAGAGCUACUGAGUAUCUUGAUAAAAUUAUCUUUUUGAGAAAAGCUGUGGCAGCUUUUCUGAAGUCUCAGCAACAGUUAUGUGGACAACUGUGGUUUGGCCAACAUAUAGAUUACUUGGUUUCUCCAACAGACUUUUGAGAAGUGUCUUAUUAGAGGCUGUUAAGGGAAACUUAACACCGUCAUGAGAGGGAAGAUCCUUGUAUGGUUAAAUGGUUAGAAGACCGGAACAAAUGGUCGGUUUUUGCAGUGGAAGAUGGUGACAGAUGAGGUUCCAUGAGAUCUGUGCUGGGGUUUUUUCUGUUCAACGUGCUCAUAAAUGACUUUAAAAAGCACGUUAGUGGUGAGGUGAUCAAGUUUGAUGAUAUUAAUUUAUUCAGGGUGGUAAAACUUAAUGACUGAGCAAUAAAAUGACAGCUGAAAUUCAGUGUAGAUAAAUGUACGUAAGGGAAAGAAAUCCUAAUUUCACUUAUGUGAGCUCUAGGCUGACUGGAGUGAAAGUUGGGAGUUAUGAUAGAAACAUCACUCAGUGCUCAGCAGUGAUCUAAAGAGUAAAUCAUAUUAGAAGAAGAAUGGAGAACGAAAGAGAGAAUGUUAUUCUGCCAUUAUGUAAAUCUGUGGUUUUGCCAUAUCUUGUAAUAUGUUUUGCAGUUCUGGCCUUGUCCUUCUCUACCACCUCAAAAAAUACAAGGGACUGGAGAAGACUUAGUCAAGGUCAACAAGGAUGAUCAGAGAUACAGAAUAAUUUCCAUUUGAGAAAUGACUUAAGCUGCAACUAUUUAGGCUGAAAGGGGAUUUUUUUAAAUGACAAGGGGAAAGCUGCAGAAAAAGCGAUCAGGAAGAGACUAAAUUAUCGUUAGGGGCAGCAAAUAAUAAUAAUAAUAAUAGCAAUAACAAUAAUCAUUAUUAUUAUUUUUAAAAUAACUGAAGAAAAAGUCAAAGGGUAAAAAACAUAACAUAGGGAAAUAGAGAUGUUAAGAUACUAAGCAGAAUACCUCUUAAUGGUACCUGUUGGUCCUUGAGGGUGUUGAAAUUUGGUGAAUGCUGCCCAGCAGUUCUGUGCACAGAGACAUAGCAAGACAUUUGACCACAACUGAAUGCAAAAUACUGGACUGAAUACUUUUUUUUAACCAAAUAAAAUUAUUUUUGUACUCCUGUAUAUUUGCAUUUUUUCAGUUUUUGUAUGCUUUUUUUCACUCUCUUAACUGUUUUGUUGAAAUGUAAAUUAUAAACAUGUAUCAUUAAGUCCAAGAAAAAACUGUAAAAUCCUACUAAUUAAAAAACAAACAGCAAUUUCAUAUGUAGGUCAUAGCAGAUGAGCACUCCACAAUUUUAGCGAUGGCAGUAAUUUAAAACAUCAUUUCUUUCACGAAGGAUGUUUCAGAGUUGUUGCCUUAAUUUGUCCCUACGUAACAAGAAUCAAGUAAUAUCACUUCUAUGAGAAGAACAAAUGAUUUUAUGCUAGCGUAUGCCUGGACUCAGUUUCCAGGUACACAGUCAACUGCACAGAAACCUGAUGCUGGUUUUCCUUGGAAAAGGUUAGAACAACUGCAUGCUCAUCUUCCAUGUGGGUUAUGUGCCUGGGCUGUCUGGGUCAUUGGCACAGAACUUCAUCAUUGUUUUAUUACCGGAGAAGUAAGAAAAAAGGGUUCUCAUUUUUGUGGACACAUAAAGAGGUGGAAAAUAACAGCAAUUUGCCUCAUAAUUAUUUACUAAAGAGCUGAGAAGCAUCAAGACUUUAGAGUCGUAGUUUAAAUACUUUGUUGUUUAAAUGCCUGUUGCCUCCUGUCCUCCUCCCCAGUGUUUCCUCCUUUUUUCUUGUUAAUAUUUGUUCUUUUUUCAGUGCUCAUGGGCACUGCAUGUCUUACUGCUCCUGUCUAUUCUGUGUCAUACACCCCAUUGCUAGACUUCUGUCUGCGUUAUCCUACCUAUUGUACUUUGUAGGUGUUUGCCUUCCUCAAGUGUCUUUUUUCACUCCUGGUGAUUUGUCAGAGGUAAAAGCAAGUGGAAUCUUCCAAGAUGUUGAAUAUAAAACUGUAAUACCCUUCCACUUAUGCAGUGUGUAUUGUCUGAUUUUUCUGGGGCUCAUAGCUUGGCCAAGUCUGGAGGCUUUCUAGAGAGCUUCAGCAAGUGAAAUUAUGCUGAUUUUCUUGUUGUUUCAAAGGAUGUAGAUAACUGUUUUCUUAAAAUGAGGUAACUGAGAGUCCAUAUGAAACAAGUGAUCUGUUAUCCCGCAUGUAAUUCUUGAAAAAUCACAAAAAUAUUUCAUCUGAAAUACUGGCUCUCCCUUUUUUCCUUUGAUUUAAGUCUGAAUGUGACACUUAGCCAGAAAAGAUCAGCCCACGCAGUUAAAUCGGCAAUGAAAUUGAAAAUGGUCUUAAAAUGGGAAAAGUUAAGCAAUCUUAACAGCAGGUGUCAGUGUGAACUCUGCCUGUGUAAUUAAGAAUGAAAAUCUGAUUAAGAAGUUUCAGCACCAUCACGUGAUAUCCUUGGUUGUGGUUCUUGAAAGCUCCUUUAUUAUUCAAAAGUUCUUUCCAAAUAUUAUUGUUUCACAUGUCCAAUAUAUAUCAAAUAGUUAUAAUAUCAUAAUCAGGCUUUCUGUCUUGUCAGCAAUUUUCCCUAGAAACAGCAUCAUAAUGAAAACUUUGAAAUCACACCUCUGAAAGCAGAAGCCUUAUAAGUGAAUAUUCGAUGUUAUAUAAUAUCUAUUAUAUUUACUUUCUAGAAGAAUGAGCUAAAUAACUGAUAAGGUUGAUUGAAAAGACAGACUAAAUUCUGAAAAGACAGAAACAAAAUAAAAUCUGAUUUUGAAGAGUUUUGAAGAACUGUAUAGUCAGUGGAAAAAAAAAAUCUAGUGCAGAAAGUCACUGAGGCAUGUAGUAAUAAAAAUCAAUUGUCUGCAGAGCUGGCUGAACAAGUUGUAAGAAGUUAAUGAAAUGAAUUAAAUUAGAAGCACCUGGUAACUAGUAAAGUAGGGGUUUUUUUUAUGGUGAAGAAAUGAACACUUAAAAUCCACUUAGCUGUUCCCUCUUCCCUUCUGCUUUCAACCAAUACCUUUCUAGGUGCAAAAAUAUAAUUUCUGUUACUGCAGAUAUUUGGAGUACCUACCUAUAUUUCUUCUCCAGUGCAUGUAUUCCAGACAUUACACCACUGGGAUAUUUAGUCUUUUCUGUAAAAAGAGGCAUAGAAAUUUUUUGUCAACCAUUAUUGCUUAACAAUCUGGUUUAUGUAAAAGCUGAGGGUAAUCACAGAUCAGGCAGCUGCAGGUUUAUUCUGUACUAGACUAGAUAUGAGAUAAAAAUCUCAGUCAAACUAGAAGACAUAGGGAAGAUAAUUAUUCCUUUAAAGGUUCUGCUAUACAUAUAUAUAGACAGAUAUAUAGAUAUAUAUCCAGAGCAGCAGGGCUGGAAGGCAGCCCAGUGCUCCCAGCUGAGAAUUCCCCUGGCACUGGGGGACCCAGCUGGCAUCCAGCCAGCUUCGCUGGCACCUGCCCUGCUCUGCUCCCGUGCCACACAGCUGCAAGUACCUUGCCCUUCAGCUGUAUUCAGCUGGUGUAUGUGAAGAAGCUUUCACCAGGAUUUAGGACAGUGUGAGUCUGCCCUGAGAAUCGGUGAUCCAUCGCUGCCUCCAUCAUUCAGCCCUCUCUGCGCCACCAAAGACAUUUCAUCUUUUUUUGGCUGCAUGUUUUGUAUGGUUCCCAUGGUGUAUUGACUGAUUCCAAAAUGGGAAAGUAUUCUCUUCCCAGUCUCUGUAAGGUAGAAAAGUUCUGCUGCUCCCCAUAUUAUGCAUGGGGAAUUAAGGCAGUGCUUUGUUUCUACUGACUUUGAAAUCUGUGUUUGAAUUCAAAGAGCCAAAUGGCUUCAGCUAUGUCUGCAUGGCCCAGAGGAGCAGGAGCUCAGGUACAAGCUAGUCCUGCUCUUUGUCUCAGAUCUAUUUUUUGGAGAGGCACUUUUAUUUUUCAGGCAAGAAUCAAAGUGAUAAUCAACAUGCAGGCAGUCCCCAGUGUACUUUGACUCUAGCCCCAAGUAACAAGACUGUAAAUACAGCAGAAUUCUGAAAGACAGCAAUUAGGUAUCCAUAAUUGCAGCAGAGAUCAGCUAAAUUUUAUGACACUGGGACUCAAGAGUGGAAUCCAAAGCUCAGAAUUCAGGGGCCAGACAAAGUUAGGAUAACACUCCAAAAAAUCAUGUCCUGAGGAGCCAUUUACAACUAUCCCAAAGGUAGUGGUAAUACGUAGGUUGGUCUGAAAACAUUCUGUUUGGGACUUGCGUAUCUGUAUUAAGACUGCAAGGUAAGAAUCUAGAUUUCCUCUGAGAAUAAACAAUUAAAAGUAGGGAGGAAGCAAGUGAAAUUCGGUUGUACUGUACCUUCUAUAUGAUAUCCUAAUGGCACUCAGCCUGCAAAUGGAAGACAUUGGCCCUUCCAUUUUGUCUCAUUGCAGCUGGAAGAAUUUAAAAUCUCUGUCUCUCUAAGGCUGCCUUAACAAUUAGGGUAUGAAUGGGACAUUGUCUUACUGCAAGAUUAAAUGAAUUGUAUUGGAAGAAGAGAGGAAGGAUAAUCCUAUAGGCUGGCAGUUCAGGCAUUAUGGGUUGGGCUAUAAGCAAUUUCCCCAAAAAAUAUGGGAAUUCUGUGGAGGAGAAAGAAUUAAUGCUCUGGUCUCUUGGCUUCCAGGACAGUGCCUGACGUGAUGGGCAUAUUCUGCCUUUAGGUGUAACUCCGGCCUGACAUGCUGCAUGGGCUUAAUCAAUGUGCAGAAAAAUCAAGAUGCACCUCAGACUGUUUCUGGCUUUAGCUGAAUGCUGUGUCAUCUUUGUUGCAAUGGGAUUAAAAUAACAGGGGGAGGUGGCUUGUUUAAAAAACAAAACAAACAAAACCCCCCCAAAACAACACAAACAAACAAACAAAACACACACACACACACACACACACAUCUGUAUGGAUUUAAUUAUCAAAAGUGAUUCUAACAGAAUGAAACUUUACUGAUUUCAUAUUUAGUCUCCUGAAGCCACCUUCUCAUCCUUAGCACUACUGGGAAAGGAACAGGAGUAUGUCUAUACUAGCAAAUAAAACCAUUCCCAAGAAUAUUCCCAGACACAGAAGCCAACUGGCAUGGGCUGACUCGCAAGUAUAGCAGUAAACAAACCCAGCCAGGCUCCAGAGUGGGGUGGCUGCAUGCAAAUCCUUGGGUGGUGAUGGCCUGUGGGAUGUUCGGACUCCCCAGCUGUGCCUGGGAAUUGCUUGGGAGACUGCUAGUUGGUACAGGCCAAAAGCAUGCCAGGCACCGCUCUAAUAAUUUUGGAGCAGUCUCUAAUAAUUUAAUCUAAUUUAAUUUUAAUAAAUUAAUAAUAAAUUGUUAAUAAAUAAAAAUAAAAACAAAUUAUUAAUAAAUAAAAUAAUAAAUUAAUAAUUUAAUAAUUUAAUCUAAUAAUAAGAAAUAAAUCUAAUAAUAAGUUUCUAAUAAUUUUGGAGCAGAGAUUCCAAUGUCUGGGAACGCUCACAGGCGCUGUUUAAUUCAUUGCCAUAGACAUAGCCUUAGGUUCACCGGUGUAUUCCACAAACUCUUUUCAACAGCAUGAAAUUGAUAAAGAUUGGUGAUUUUUGGUGAGGAAACAUUCUAAAUUAAAUCUUGUCUCACAUACCUGGUAAUGAUCCUUUUUACUCUUGAGAGAGAUAAAUAUAUAGUUUGGUUCUGGAUUUCCAAUCUUGUGGUAUUCAUCUUGUUAGUGCAGCCAGCUUUUUAAUGACUCAUAGUAACCUAAAGUAUCUUCAAGAUGUCUACAGGAUUUAGAAUUAAUUCUGUGACCUUUAGGGAAAAUUUAGAAGUAGAAGACUAAAUUUGAAGUGCAUGGUGUCAUUCUUAAUACACAGAAGCAGCCUUCUGUGGAGAGUCUUCUCUCUCCAAACCCUACUGUUGUCUUUGAUACCAGUUGCUAAUUUAGAGGAUGAUAUAAUUUUAAAGCUAUUGUUAGAGGGGCUUAAUUUCGGGCACUGGAUAGCAUAUUAUUAUAGAAUCAUAUAAUAGUUUGGGUUGGAAGUGACCUCUGAAGGUCAUCCAGUCCAAAACCCCUGCUGUCAUUAAUACCUGUAGCUAAAAAGUGUGAUUUGGGUGUGUAAUGGUAUCAGGCUGGCAGAGAAUGCCAGAAAACAGGUAGUUUUGAAGGACUUUCAGGUUUUGCAAAACAUUGUUUAGUUUUCCUGUGCAAUUAACUGUGCUUAUUAUAUAGGAAUUGAGUGAAAUUAUCACCAUGUUCUGUAUUAACUUGAUACAGAAAAACUGAGACAAUUAUCUGAUGUGAACAGAGAUUGCCUAUUUGAAUUAUCUUAAUUUAUUAAUUAUCACAGUUUUAAAUUACUACUUCCUACUGCUUACUAAAUUUGUUUGUUAUGGCCUACGUUAAAUUAGCUAAAAAGGAACAGAUAAUCCCUCAUAAAUAUUAAAAUCUAUUUGUAAACACCUAACACAUGAAAAAUAACUGCUUAGCUUUUACACUGAAUUUGACUUCUUUUCCUGAUUCUUACAGUUCUUUGAUUGCAGAUCUUGUAUGAGAGGAAAAAGGUGGGGUUUUUACCCCAUCAAAUAUUCUUUUCUUUUGGAAAAGCAAAUCAACUUAGCAUAAAGAAAGCAUAAAGAAUUCAGCUUUAACCUCAGUAAAGUAGUUCCCUUUUUCUCCAAGUUAUGUAUUCAUUCAAGUAUCCUUAUCUGGAUUGCUCUUUCCUUACAGAACUAAUUUAAAUCCCCGGAGCCCACAAAAGGUCAGACAAAAGCUUCUGUCAUAGCCCUAACGCCCUUCAUGAGUCACUUGGUAUUUUUAUAUAAGUUUUUUUCAUAUCAUGAUGUUAAAGGAGCAAGGCCCUAAGAGGAUCACUCUCGGUAUCCUGUGGUCAGUAUAUCAUAGAAUAUAGUCUUGUUUUUCGUGAUGAAAUUAUGCUUGCAUAUUUCAAAGAGUAAGGUUUCCAGAAAACUAUCACAAAAUCUGUGGUAAGGCAACAUAAAGAAGUCAGGAGAGAAAGAAAAUAGCAGCUUUAGUUGCAACAUAUUCUUAAAAUGUCUUUUGGUAUCCAACUGUUGGAACAGAUCUGUAGCAUUAGAUCAGAUGGUGUCAUUGUUUGUGCAGGGCUGCAUUUACUAACAUACAAAACGGAUGGCGUAAAUAUGAAUCAAUACAAGUGUUUUCGUUAGAAAAGUGAAGCUAAAUAAGCAAACAAUAAAAACCAUUAUUCUUCAGUUGUCCUAUAUCCUACCAUCAACUGAAAAAAUGUGUUUUUAAAACUCUUCCUUCCUCUCUGUUUCGGCAUCACUAAUUCAUUUAAAUCCUUCCUGAUUCUACAAGUAACAGUCUCUUUGUUGUGAAAUGAUAUUCUAGUGCCAUUCCAAAAUAUUGCAAGACUAUUAAUAUAAAGGUAGUGAAAAGAGACAUAAAAUUAUGUAGCAAAUAACACUAGGAAUGAUGGUUAGAAGAUGUUUUAUCUAGACCUGAUUUAUCUUUGAACUACCUAUUCCAAAAGUAACAGUUCAUAAAUAUGGGUUGGGACAAUGCGAUGCAUGAAGUUCUUGUAUUUUAUUUUAUUUUGGUAAGUAUAUUAUGCACAAAUCAAAUAUUAUGAUUGCCAGUUUUUCUAAGCAAAGCAGUUCACUAAAUAGAUCUUUAGGACUGGGAGUGACUCCAGGUAAAUAGAUUUGUUUAAAGUACACCAUGAGCAUACGACUGCAGUCAGCAUCCUCAAUGUGUAAAAUCUGUGAAGUGUGGUGUUUUCUUGUAGUCUUACAACUCUAGGAACUGGCAUAUUAAGGGAAAUCACCAAAUGCUGUGAAAAACAUGACAUAGCAAUGAGUUCCCACUAGAAAUUUGUAUCACGUGCUGUCGCAUCUCAAACCUACAUCAGUUCUAGCUACCUGGUCGCAUUAAAUCUCCUCAAUUUAGGGAACUUCAGCUAACGCCAAAGGUCGUGGCAUAUUCUCUUAGUUAAUUUCCAGUCAAAGUCAAGGUUUCAAUGGUUGGUGGUCGUUGGCUUGGUUAGAGGCUGCGGGAUUUGUGGUUUGCUGCAGUUUGUAGUUUACAGUUUUCUCCAGGGGAGCUGGGUAACCCAGGCAGCGUGCAGCUGAGCCAGCUGGGGCUUUCUGCUUUUAAUCACAGCUGACAGACAGUUAACUGCUGAGAUUUAACAAUGGAGGUAGCCAAUGUUGAGGGACUAUAAAAGGAAAGAAAUAAAGAGCAUUUAAAAAAAAAAAAAAAAGGUUUUUAUAAGGUGAGAUGGAGGAAGUACAAUUUUCUCUUUCAAUUUAGGGAAAUUUGAUCUGAAUUGAUCUCUUACUCACAGAAGUAAUUUAAACACCACAUGUCUUUAAAAGGUCAGGCAAAAUCAUCUUUCUCAAACUUGAUAGUCUUCAUAAGUUACUAUUUAUUUUCAUGUCCACACAGAUUGUUGUUGACUCAGUAUGACACAUCAAAAAAACCCUCCACAGUCUAUUAAAAACAGGCAAGGGACAGAAAAAUACAUUUUUUUAAUGCAUAAAAUCUGACUAAAAAUGAAACAGGCAUGAAAAGGACUUGAUGCAGAAGCUGUAGGAAAUUUUCUAAUCUUGAAUAGGUACCUGAUGGAAAUUACCUUCUGAUGAAGUGUUGCCAGACAGAAGAAAAGAUCUGAGGAUUAGCACUGCAGCUGGAGGAUCGGUGAAAAAGUGAUAUGAAAAGAGAGGGCAAAGGAAGGGAGAGAGGAGGCUGUGCAGUCACUUGAAAUUUAUAGACAUCUAUUAAGUGGUAUGACAUAGAGAAGAGAAGCUUGAAUGAGUUGGAUGAUCCAAAAAAAACAUGUCAACCAGUCAAAUGGAGGAAGAGGUCACUAGUGGAGGAGGAGCAGAGCAGAAGAACAUUUAAAUCACUGAAAAUCAUGGGCAAAGAACAGACAGAAAUAAUCUUGUUUUGUGGAAAGAAAAGGAGUUACCUCUCUAGAAAAGGGGGGAAUGCAGAUAGCCAAGGAACGCAGCAGGGGAGAUAACAGUGUGAUAUAGGAGACUGUGAAUUACAGAAAUAUGAACGUGUUGGUUGGAAGGACCUCUGAAAAUCACCUCAUCCACCUGCCUGAUGUAAGGAGGACUUUUCAACACCUGAUCAGGUCAGCAAUGGCUUUGUCUAGCUGAGUCCUGAAAACCUCUGAGGAUGGAGUCAGUCUCUCUGUCCUGGUGCUGCUCUUAGUGAAGGUGUUUUUCCUAAUACCCAGUUGCAUCUUAUUACAUUGGACAUUUCUGCUAUUGCCCCUUGCAAAACUAUUUGCAAUUAUCAAGAGAAUUUUCUGUCAUCUCUGUAUUUGCCCUUCAAACAGUUGCAGGGUACUAUUAGGUCACACCAUAUUUUCUUCUUUACCAAGACAAAGAGAUUUCUCCCCACGGAUGUGAGGAGCUACACCUCUGGCUCCUUUCCAUCUUCUAACCAUUUUGCUGGAUUAUCUGGUUUCUCAAGAUCCCUUCUGAGCCAGGGAGUGGGUGAAGCAGAUCACUAUAUUCCCAGUAUGGCCUCACUAGAAACAACUAAAGGAGAAUGACAACUUGCCUUUAUCUUCUAGCUUCUCACCUGCUAAUGUAGACCAGCAUGCUGUUUUUUUUAUUUGUGGUGAGAACAUACUGUUGUCUCUUCUGUGGAGGUAGCUUGGCAUUCCUCUGUCACCUUCAGGUGGCAUCUUACAGAGUGAUCUAGAAUCUGGAAGGAAAGAGCUGAAGAUUAAUACUGACACUAGGGAUAGGCAGGUCAACAUGAGCAAAGUUUCCUUUUUAGCACACAAGAGUCACAAGAGUGGGCCUGGAAAAAAAACAAGCUGUACCCCAAGAGGAAAGAGGUAAGAUGCUAGGACGAAGAGCCUCUUCAUCGUCUUUCAGAACAAAUAACACUAGUAGACUCUUUCUUACAUUUCCAAAGGAUUACAAAGGCAAGAUAAAAUUGCAAACUCAGAUUAUGUUAUAACCACAGGCUAAUUUAGAUUGGAAGUGACCUCUGGAGGUGCUCUGGUCGAUACUUGGCUCAAAGCAGGGACAACUUUGAAGUCAGAUCUAACUUGGAAGUUAGAUCAGGUUUCUUAGAGCCUUGUACAGUCAAGCCAAUGUGGAGAUUCCACAACUUUCAUGGGCAGCCUAUUUCGGUGUUUGGCCACUCUCCCAGUGAAAGCAUUUUUUCUAAGAUUCAAUCAAAAUUUCUGUUGUUGCUACUUAGGACCAUUGCCUCUUACUUUUUCACUGGGUGCCAAGAAUAAAGUGUCCCUGUCAUCUUAUAAUAGGAAAAGAGCCCCGAUUAGACUUCCCUUGUACAGGCUGAACAAACAUGGCUCCAUUUCCUUGUGGAGCGUAAUGCAUUCCAGCCUCCUGGUCAUCUUAGUGGCCCUCCAUUGGGCUUGUUCCAAUAUGCCCAUGUCCUUAUUCUACUGGGAAGCCCCAAACUGAACACAGUACAUCAGGUGUGGUCUCAUAAGUCCAAAAUAAAGGAGAAAAACCACUUCAUUUGACUUGCUGGCUACAUUUUUCCCAAUACAUCACAAGAUGUGGUUAGCUGUCAUCACCACAAGGACAGAGGGAAAUCUCUCGUAUCCUUUGAAAGGCAGUGGUGUUAGAGCAACGAACGUCAGAUGGAUUCUAAAAGCUGUUUUUAGAGGAAAGUUAUGAGGGCUCAGUCACAGUCAUUGAGAAGUUUUUAUGAGGAGGGGAAUCUCUGUAAAUGGGCUCCACUUAACUGCUGGAGUGCUGUUCUGCCCAGCUAAGAGGAGUAUUAAAAGAAAAGCUUUAAACUAUUCUCAUAUUUACAGCACUGUUUAAAAUGUAGUGUAGCUGUACAUAAAUUACUUCGCAUCUGGGAAACAGCCUGGCUGCAGCAGUAUGGAGCACAAGAUAGGUUUGCUUAUGCAGGUCAACCUGAUGUUUAGAAAUUGCUUGCACAGCAGGAUAAGAAUGACAUGGAGAUUCAUGUUAAUAUCCACACUUGGCAAAAGCACUGGGAGAGAAGAAAAUUAGUAAAAUAAAAUUGAUGUAGUGGUUAGAAGAACUAAAAUUAAAUCAUGUCUUCAUCCAAUAUCCUCCCAUUGUAUUUUCGGUAGAUUUAAAAAAUUUAAUACUUUAUUGCAAUACUGUAAUUGCAUGUGGCAUUACAGAAUAAAACACAGAUUGAGUUUAAACAAAUGAAUGUCUCAGAAAAUGAGUUCUUCAUUACCAUAUCUCCUAGUCCUUCUCUGCACUCCCUUCGGAUUUGAGGCAUUUUAGUGCUGCUGUGGGAUGGCAGAGAUGCUCAGUAUCUCUGCAGUGCCUUUCCAAUGUGUUCUGGGUUCUCUUUGCCUAUUGGUUCAUGUGUGAUCAGUACGUGCAGAAACUCCUUUCCAUCCACAAGUACAAAAACCAAAAGUUCUCUGCUGUUAGUCUUUAAGCACAGCACCUUGCAUUUUAAGCGAUUACACUUCAUUCAAAGGGUAUUUUUCCACUGCUUAAAAUUAUACAUCUAUGUAAUAUUCCAGUCCUUGUUUGCAUUGUUGAUGUUUCCCUAAUAUGUGACAUCAAUACAUUUCAUGCUGCUUGUGUCAUAACCAUUAAAGAAAAAUAAUAACUAAUGUCGAUCAGAACUACAGGCACUGAUGGAUUCUAGCCUAGUACUGGUGUUUUACCUACCUUACUGGCCACUAUGACAUACAUAUAAAAGAAGGGUAAAAAAGAAGGGUAAAAAAACAUGAGGAAAAAAUAACUGUUCAGCUAAGGGACAGUGCUGGCAGAAUAACAAAUACCUGUGAAGUGACCAUAAUUAAAUUUAAGUUGAAAAUUUAGAGUCAAGAUUAUCACUGUUGGAAGAGUGUUAUUUUGGAACUGCAUCUUUGCAGAACUAAUGGAGAAGGGGAAAAAACUUCUUUUAAAAAGUUUCUCUGCUGUUCAGGUAGUAGAAUUCUGGAUCUGGUGCAAUGGAAACAGCACUUGAAACUAAAGCUUAUUCACAUUUCCACACCUGUUUUAGAAACAUAAACAUAAAUAUAUAAAUAUAAAUAUAAAUAUUAUACUAUCUCCUUGAAACUGGCUAGUUUUUAUGUUAAAACAAUAAGAAAAGAUAAAAGCAAGAUUUCCUGUUUAGUUUUAGUCCUGAAAGUGGGUAGGUAAGGUGGGCUUACAGCCAUCCUUGUUUUCUCUGUAAAGGGGGUGAGUUGUCACUUUCCAAAGACAAUUGUACGUGGGGAAAAACUAAUCAGAUUAUCAAUCAUUUUUUCAGACAGAGUAAACCAUUUUGGGUGAACUGAUCAAAGGUAUCCAGGCUGGGGCCAACUUUUCCUGGAAGUAGUUAGUAUGACACUUUUUUAAAAGGCAUACAAUUAAAUUGCUACAAAAGGAAAGUACUGGAUCACAGUUGAAACUAUUAAUAUAUAGUUAUAUUAUUAUCUUUUCUCACUUUGCAGGUGUAGUUGUGUCAUUGUUUUUUAAACAGUGCUCUGGAAAAACUGAAUCAUUCUUCAUUUUUAAUAAAACUCCAACAGCGAACCUUCAGGGUUUAUCAUCUCCAUAUAAAUCUUACAUGUCACACACCCUUUGGAACCUCAUGACAGAUAAUCUGGUUUAUUGUGCUGUAAAAUAUGCAAAUAUUACAGUGAUCGUAGUUCUUAUAAAAGCUUGGAAGGUAAAUUUUUCAGUUUUGCACAUAAGGAAGAAAUUCAUUGCCUUUGGUAGGAUUGGUGAGCCAAUAUUUAGAGCCUCUUUGCAUUAGUGUGAGAAAUAGAGAAUAGCUCAAUAGUGACAGCCCUGGUGAUUUACAAGAUUGUAUGCGGCAUCCUCUUUUCUAGGAACUAGUCGAAAUAAUAACUAUGAGGCAGAUUCUUUGUUCAAAAAUCAAAAUCUGCUUGGCUUUCCAGAAAUUUUACUCCAAAUAACCCUGCAUGUCUUGCUCGCAUAGGUAUGCCCUUGACAUCUCUUGCUUUCUUUUGGGUUUCCACUCCUCUCAUAUGUUUGCAUUGGUAAUCAGUCUCCCAGCACCCUGGGGACCUUCUCCAUCUCUCUCAUCUUCCUGAAUUGCAACCUAUUUAGUUAGUUACUUAGUUACCACUCCCCAAAGGGGCCCUUGCUUGCUCCUUCCAGUCAGUCUGUUGAAAAGCUAGUUUCUAUUGCACUUUUGAUUUUGCUUGUCUAUAAAUUAGAGAGGGUAUUUCAGCACCCAAAGUACUAAAAUUCUGCAUUAAAAAAAAAAAAAAAAAAAAAAAGAAAAAAUACAAAGAAAAAUGGCUUGUGGCCUAUUGUUUAUUGUUUUCAUAUUUGCAUUGGAGUAACUGUUAGCCCAGGCUUAAGUGCUGGAGGAGAAUGAGGAUAGAGCACCCAUCGAUUCUCCAUUUCUGUGAGUCCUAUCCAACUAACUUUUUGAGUUGCAUGGUAAACAUAUCUGCUCUACAGCUGCUGAGCUUUUUUCAUCGGCUUUAACAAUAAGUGGGGACUGGACAAGCUUAAGAAGGAUAGGUCCACUGUGAUUUUAAAUACAGUAGCCCUAAAGAAGACUCUGAUGCAGGAUCUACCUGGAAAUAUGGAGAAUGUUCCUGGGAAAGUUUGCUCUACACUUUAUCUGUUCCUGGUGGUGUCUUCCUAGCUAACCAUUUUGACCUCCUGUCAUGGGGCUAAAUGUUUUUUUGAUCUGCCUGAUUAUGGCAAUUCCAGUACUUAUACAGGAGCAAGAGGAUGGAUUGUACCUGGAAGAUAAUGCCAGAAGCACUCAAAGUAGAAAUUGAGUGAAUUAACCUUUGAAAUAGCUUAUGAGGAAAUGUUAUUAUUCUUCAUCCCCAGUGGUUUUGAGGCCCAGUUCAGUAAAAUAUAUAAGUUUUUAAUGGAUAUCUAAUGACAUGUGAGGAGGUGUUUCUAAUUAGUUGUCUUAAGUCCUGUGUUUCAUGGUGGGAUGUCUUUCUAGAUAUGUAAUCUACAUCAAAAACUUAUUGAGAUUACUCUAAAAAUUAGUGAGUGAAACUUGUUGGCUAGUGCUCUCCAGGACAUUAGAUUAGGUAAUCCUAAUAGUACAUUUGCAUUUGUACUCUUAUGGAUACAUAGGAAAUAUGAACAAAUUAUUGGCAAAUAGUAAAUUGCCAUGUUGAAUUCUCUGUGUGCAUUCUCUUACCUCAAGUAAAAAUGAAGUAGCCUGUCCUUCUUUAAGGGAGAGGAAAAAUACCUAUGAUUGUAUUGCAUUUGCAGGGGAGGAAGAAUGUGCAUGUGGAUGGUUACCUCACAGGAGCUGACCCAUAGUAUUUCAUUACCUCAUGGUACCUUCUUGGCAUGUCAAAGCCUUAUGACUUGAAACUUAUACUUUGUUACAUUUUACUCAUUAGUUCUCUGCAUUGAACAGACCAUAUGUUAAUUUCUUGAAGUCACUGAGAGAGCCGAACAUAAAAUGUUGACCUCUUGAGAGUUUGACUGCUGGAAGAUUUAUGAAUGUUUAUAAUUAUUUAGUUUAUCAUAGAAGUUGCAGAAAAACUGACCUAUAUGUACUCUGACAGGGCAUAAUUUCUGUAAAGUGCAUACCCAUCAAUGCUGAUGUGCAUUUAGUUCUGUAUUUAGCCACAUUGUACUUUCGUCCAGUAUUUCUUUUUGCCUGAACAUUUUUUAGUUUCUAUCAACAAGCUGCAGAUGUGAUGCACAAUAUUAGUCAUGGCCAUAGUAAGUCCAGACUUCGAAACAUUUUGAAAUAAAACUUCAUGCUGCUGAGUAUAAAUACUUGUAAUAAAAGCUUCCGGGCAGAAGAUACCAUAGUGACGCUAUCAUGCCUAAGCAGUAAUUAUUUUAUAGCUGAUCAAAGUACCACUUAUAUCUAAGAAGUUCCUGAUGAAACAGGAAGUUGACCUACCCUCACCCCCCAUAUCCUACCAUAUUGUUAAGUUAGUAUUGCCAUAAUAACCCUCUUGGCAAACAAUUUCAUAUUUAUAUUACUUUAUGCUUACAUCAACUACAGGAAUGAAAGCAAUUAAUUAAGGGUACCUUUAUUAAUCAAUGUCAGUGUUUUGGUUUUAUUUCUUCCUUUAUAUACCAUGCCACCACUUGAAAGUAAAAAUCGCAACUAGACUUCCAUUUAUGCAGGACAAAUGACCGACCACUUAAUGGUCAAGUAUGUAAUAUUGAAUAGCAAACUUUUGUCUUUUACUAUAGUUCAUGUUUCUAACAAAAUAAUCAAUAAAAUAAUCAAGAGAGAAGAAAAAAAAUCUACAAACCAAGCUGGAAGCUGAAAAGAUACCUCAACAUAAGAAAACUUAUGACAAACACAAAAGUAUUUGUAUAGAUGGAUCAGCAACUGGUAGGUCAAAACAAAACAAAACAAAACAAAAACCACAAAACAAAACAAAAAACAAACAGCAAACAAAUAAACAAAACAACAACAACAAACAAAAAACCUGCCCAACAGCCUUGACACAAGGACUCAUUGACCUGAUGUUAUUUCAAGGCCACUCUCAAUAAUCUUUGAAAGGUCAUGACAAUUGGGAGAGCUUCCUGAGGACUGGAGGAAAAUAAAGGUCACUCUUGUCUUCAAGAACAACAAGCUGGAGGAUCCAGGGAGCUACAGGUAAGUCAGCCUCACUUCAAUCCCUGGGAAGGUGGUGAAGCAGAUAAUCCUGGAAAGCAUUUCCAAACACAUGAAGGACAAGAAAGUUAUUGGGAGUAGUCAGCAGGGAUUUGCGUAGGAGAAGUCACUCUUAACUGAUGUGAGAGCCUUCCGUGAUAAGAUAACUGGCUUGUAGGAUGAGGGGAGCAGUGGAUGUUGUUUGUCUCAACUUUAGUAAGGCCCUUGACAUCGUCUCCCAUAAUCAGUAGACAAGCUGAGGAAGUAUGGGCUAGAUAAGUGGAACGGUGAGGUGGAUUGAAAACUAGCUGAACUGCUGGUCCCAGAAUGGUUGUGGUCUGUGGAACAAAGUCCAUCUCAAGGCCAAUCAUUAGUGUGUGGUGUACCCCAAGGUUCAUUUCUGGGACUAGUACUGUUCAUUAAUGUUCUUCAUUAAUGACAUGUAUGAUUGAACAGAGCGCAUGUUCAGCAAGUUGGCAGAUGAUACAAAACUGAAGGGAGUGGUUGAUUCACCAGGGGGAACUUGACAGGCUGGAGAACUGAAACAACUGGAACCUUACAAAAUGCAAAGGGAAAUGCAAAGUCCUGUCCCUGGGGAUUAAUAACCCCAUGCACUAGAACAUGCUGGGGGCCGACUGCCUGAAAAGGACCGGGGGAUGCUGGUGGACAAAUUGACCAUGAGCCAGCAAAGCGCUCCAGCAGCAAAGAAGACCAACAGCAUCCUGAGGUGCAUUAAGAAGAACAUUGUCAGCAGGUCAAGAGGGCUGAUCAUUUCCUUCUACUGAGCACCAGUGAGAACACAUCUGGAGUGCUGUGUCCAGUCCAAGGUCCCCAGUACAGAGAGACAUGGACAGGAGUGAGUGCAGUGGAAGGCUACAAAGAUGAUUGGAGCAUCCAACAUAGGAGAAGCUGAGAGAGCUGGGACUGUUUAGCCUGGAGGAAAGAAGGUUCAGGAGGAUCAUAUCAAUGUAUAUAAAUACCCGAUGAGGGGGGGUAAAGAAUAUGAAGCCAGAGCCUUCUCAGUGGUGCCUAGUGAAAGGACAAGAGGCAAUGGGACAAGGUGAAAUACAGGAAACUCCACUUGAAUAUAAGAAUAUCUUUUUUUACUGUGAGGAUAGUUGAAUCUUGGAAGAGGUUUUCCAGAGUGGUUGUCUUUCAAGAUAUUUGGAAGCCAACUGGACACAGUCCUGAAUAACCUGUUCUAGUUGCCCCUGCUUUGAGUGUGGAAGUUGGAUGAAUUGGGUUUUCCUCCCACCUCAACUAUUCUGAGAAUCUGUGACUCAGCAACAACAUGCCGUUUCUGAAGAACAUCUCCACCAGUGAAUGAAUGCAAUAGGCACAGUUUUCAUAAUACUAAAACUGAUAUCCUAAAUGGAGAAAUAAACCAAAACACUUAAAGCAAAAGUCUAAUGAAUACUAGCGUAGAUGAAAGCAUAAAAAGUGCUUGAGAGAAAUAGUCUGGAAUACCAUAUACACUUUAAAAGAACUCUGAGGCCGUGCUGGAAAUACCAAAUAACUUGUAGGCCUAAUCACAGUUUAAACGGGUUAAUUGUAGUCUUCUACUAAAAGAUUCUGACAUGUUGAGUACUUACAAGGACCACCAUGUAUCCUGUUUCACGAAAUGUAACUUAUUUUUGUUGGUUUUGUAUGCCUGUUCAGAAGGUCAGUGCAAGAGAAGAAACUGUAGAGAAUGAAUAACUGUAAAUUAAAGAAAAAAUCCUAAGGAAAUAAAUAGCUGACAUGUGAAGCCCACAAUAAACACAAAUAGGGAACAUACAAAAUGGAGAAUGUGAGCUUUUAGUAUUUAAUUCAGUGUUUGUUGAAAAUUUCAUGUAAUUGUAAAUAUUAAGUGAAAAUAUGUUAAAACAUGAGGUAAUAUCUUCACACUGAGUUAAUGUUUGGCCUGUUGAGUAGACAAUUCUUAAAUGCUCUUCAGUCUAAGGAUCUUGACAGAAACAGUUGAGGACUCUUAUUUUGUAAAAGAAAUAUAAACUGGAAAUUAAUCAAAUGUAAUUGCUGUUGGCAUAUUUGAUGCAAUUACAGUGGAAAACAUGAUUUAUAGCCAUGAAAUAUAUGGUUUGAUUAAAAAUAAAAUAUAAAGCAUAGAGAGGGACCACAAAUAAGCUACAUGCAUUAAUAUGGAAACAUUCAUAUAGUAUCUUCAUAAUAGGGAGCAAUUAAAUAGUUUGGACAUCCAUAAAUCCAUGGGCCCGGAUGGGAUGCAUCCACAGGUGCUGAGGGAGCUGGCUGAAGUCGUUGCUGGACCGCUCUCCAUCAUCUUUGCCAAGUCUAGGGAAACGGGAGAGGUGCCCGAGGAUUGGAGGAAAGCAAAUGUCACUCCAGUCUUCAGAAAGGGCAAGAAGGAGGACCCGGGUAAUUAUAGACCUGUCAGCCUCACCUCCAUCCCUGGGAAAGUAAUGGAACAGCUUAUCCUUGGUGCCAUCUCAAGGCAUAUCAAGGAUAAGAGGGUUAUUAGGGGCAGUCAGCAUGGCUUUACCAAGGGUAAGUCGUGCUUGACCAACCUCAUAGCCUUUUAUGAGAAUGUAACAAGGUGGAUAGAUGAUGGCAGAGUGGUGGAUGUGGUCUGCCUUGACUUCAGUAAAGCCUUUGACACAGUCUCCCACAGCAUCCUCACAGCUAAGUUGAGGAGGUGUGGUCUAGACAAUAGAGUAGUGAGGUGGGUUGCAAACUGGCUUAAGGAGAGAAGCCAGAGAGUGGUAGUCAAUGGUGCGGAGUCUAGUUGGAGGCCAGUAUCUAGUGGAGUGCCUCAGGGGUCAGUACUGGGGCCAAUAUUAUUCAAUAUAUUCAUUAACGAUUUGGACGAGGGAAUAGAGUGUACUAUCAGCAAGUUUGCUGAUGACACUAAGCUGGGAGGAGUGGCUGACAUGCCAGAAGGCUGUGCUGCCAUCCAGCGAGACCUGGACAGGCUGGAGAGUUGGGCGGGGAAUGACCUAAUGAAAUUUAACAAGGGAAAGUGUAGAGUCCUGCAUCUGGGCAGGAACAACCCCAGGUUCUAGUAUAGGUUGGGAAAUUACAUAUUAGAGAGCAGUGUAGGGGAAAGGGACCUGGGGGUCCUGGUGGACAACAGGAUGACCAUGAGCCAGCACUGUGCCCUUGUGGCCAGGAAGGCCAAUGGCAUGCUGGGGUGUAUUACAAGGGGGGUGGCUAGUAGAUUGAGAGAGGUCCUCCUUCCCCUCUACUCCACCCUGGAGAGACCACAUCUGGAAUAUUGUGUCCAGUUCUGGGCUCCUCAGUUCAAGAAGGACAGGGAACUGCUGGAGAGGGUCCAGCGUAGGGCAACGAAGAUGAUUAAGGGAGUGGACCACCUCCCUUAUGAAGAAAGGCUGAGGGAGCUGGGUCUCUUUAGUUUGGAGAACAGGAGACUGAGGGGUAACCUUAUUAAUGUUUAUAAAUAUAUAAAGGGUGAGUGCCAUGAGGGUGGAACCAGGCUCUUCUCGGUGGCAAACAAUGAUAGGACAAGGGGUAAUGGGAUCAAGCUGGAACACAAGAGGUUCCACUUAAAUUUCAGAAAAAACUUCUUCUCAGUGAGGGUGCCAGAGCACUGGAACAGGCUGCCCAGGGGGGUUGUGUCUCCUUCUCUGGAGACAUUCAAAACCCGCCUGGACAUGUUCCUGUGCGACAUCACCUAGGCAUUCCUGCAGGGGGAUUGGACUAGAUGAUCUUUCGAUGUCCCUUCCAAUCCCAAACAUACUGUGAUACUGUGAUACUGUGUUAUUCAUAUAAAAGUAAAAAUCUGUAGCAGUGGAGAGUCCAAAUAUAGUUCCUUUUAAUUGUGGAGGGAUAAAUAUUACCUCUAAAGCUGUGGGAAAACAGAAUCUUGUUUAAAAGGGAAAGCACAUUUGUUGAAUGCAUGAAAAGAGAAAUUAAUGUUAGUCCAUUUUACUAUGGACUUAAAGAUUAAUGAUCCUAGCACAAACACAAGAAGCAUUUCAAGCAAAUUGAGAACCAAACAUUAAGCAUGGACCCAGGGAGAACUUCACAAGACUUUGCACUGUGUUCCUCAUAUGGCCGCCCAGCAGUUAGCCGCUACAACAGAAUUUCUGGACACCUUGAUUUGAUGGAGCCAGAAGAGUAUUGUAAUACAAACUGCCCUGCAUCCUAGAAAAUGAAGCUGUCAUUUUCUUUUUGUAUGUGCAAAGACACUUAGGGAGUCAAAACUGCCACUGUUUUUAGACAUCAGCGGAGGGAGGCAGAUUUCCUCUAUUUGCAUAUUAAGUGCAUUUACUUCCAGAAACUGUGGGAAUUCUUUACAUUGUUCAGGAGAGAAAAGCUGUGAAGUAUAUAUUUCAGCUGUAUAAAGAAACACGUAAGGGUCUUUUUCACAUACUCUGUGAACCUGAAGUGCAUGAGACAUAGACUUGAUGAUGGAAAUAGUGAGUAAAAGUGGGUUGAAUAUAGACAGUGGACUAAAAUAAUGCCAGUAAAUGCUGUAUGCAAUCUAAUAUGCCAUAAAUGUGCAUAUCCAACAUCUGAAACUGGCCAAACUAAGUAAAAGGCAAAUCAGAAGUGUGGCCUGAGGCAAGCUGCUUUUUUUCAUCUGCAUUAGGAAUGACCCAUUAAAGGAGAAUGUAGACAGAGAGCUAAAGCAACCAAGCAACCUAAAACUUUGCCUUAUUUACCUAUGUUUAAAUUAUGUCUCAUUACAACAGUUUUAAAAAAAAUAAUAAUUCUUGAUUUUGUUACGAGUCUUGUCAAAUAUUUUUUUUCCUAAAUAGAGGAGGAGAACGGUGUCAAGGAUGAAAAUGAACAUUAAAUAUACAUUCCUGUAAUGAAGGAAGCAAUACAGGGCAAAGAAGAAAGGGCAAAGUAGUUCAGAAGAUCAUCUCACAUUCAGACUUUGUGUAACACGUGUGACUAUUUUCAAAAGACUGGAAUUCUAUAAGAGCUGAGUUCUGUCCUCUGAGGUUACAUGAAGUUAAACAUCUUUGUAGAUUGUGGGGUGGACAAAAUAUUAUUUCCCCUGUACAGGAAGUUUGUAGUAAAUACACACACAGAUGGGAAUCCACAACUACUUGAUUUAUAACCACCAUUCCAGCUUGUACAAAUGAAUACUUAAUUACUUGUUUAUAUAUUUUGCAUAUCAGCACUCAAUAAUAUUUUAUGUUCUUCCAAGCCAAAUACCCAUGUAGAAUGUAAAUAAGGAGGGGGGGUUGUCUUUCAGAUAGAUAAGAUAUAUGUCAUAUGGACAUCUAAAUCCCAUCAUGUUGUAAAGAAAUGUUGAAGGAAAUCAAAAGAUGCUCUUUUUUCUUCUGAUUUGUUCUUUUCAAUUUCUUUCAUUGCAGCUUUGUUAAUGUUUAGUCAAAACCUUCCCGUAUGGCAUCUUUGGUACUUCCCUACACAUACAUUUCAGUACAUGUUGUCAGCUUUGUUCCAAAUUUUGAUUCCUUUCCCAUUUGUUGUUCGAAACAAUCAACAUCAAACUGAAACAUGAAAGAGGUUGUAGAAAAGGUUAUUUUCCCUACAUGAAGAACCACUGCAGUGUCUUACAUUUUCUAUAUGAAUGCAAUUGUUGUUUGUCUCUUAGUCACACACUGCAUCCUGCGUUUGGACUUUGGCAGGUAAAGUUAUGCUACCUGAGCUGGCUAAUGCUUUCUCCAAUACCAAGCUGCACUGUAAUAUUUGUUAUCGCCCACUAGACACUUCCCCUCCCCCACAUGCUACUUAAAUCCUUUUAAAGAUCAGUUUUCUGGAGUCCAUCUGGCAUUUUCAGACCCCUAUUACAACCAGGCUUUGCCAUUUCAGUACUGGGGUGCGCUGAGGCCUGUGAGGAGCCACACUCUGUUACAUACACACAGCACAGAAAUGCUUUGUAUUUCUUCUCCCCUGCAUGUUAUCUAUAAUCUAAUAUCAAACAUGUUAAGGCUAAAAUAGGACUUCCAACAACUACUUAUAUUUAUACACUUAAAGCUUUCUCAAUCCUAGCUUCAUUGGCUAAAGAAGUUUAUAAAUAACAUACCCCAGGGAAAGUUCUCUAAUGCUUCAUUUAAGAAACAUUGGUAACUGUGAUCUGUGGAAAUUAACUGAGAUAAAUGGUUGCUUUUUUAAUACAGUUUCUUUAUAUCCAAUUUAGGCAUCAAAGACUGGAACUCUGGUUAUAUAUCUGAAGCAUUUGAAGAUGAAAUAUGAAACAACGCUUAUAUAAGAGAUAAUUAAGCACCUGCAGCUUCCAUCAAGUUCAAUAGAAGACAUGGAGCAAGGAACAGGCAUCAACUUCAAGACAGGCGAUAUAAAGAAAAUUUUAACCAUUUUUGUAUCAACCUAUGGCAUAUGCAGAAAGAAGAUGUAGAAAAUGUACUAGUAACACGGAUUCUGCUUAUUAAUGGGCUCACUUUUCAUCUGUCCACUAGUUGGCAGGCAUAGCAACGCAACCAGCUAUCCUGUGAAUGCAUCCCUGGCUGCUGCUGAAUCUCUGCUAAGACGUCCUAGCAACUGUGUGCCAGCACUGCACCGUGCAAAUGCAUAGGCAUUAACAGGAUCAGUCAAACCUCCAGGGGAGUUCUCCUGUGGCUGGUGCAUAAAGCAUUUCACUGGAAGACAAUUAAACACCUGGCAAACUGGAUACCAAGGUUAAGUGUGAAGGUAUUUGCAGAGCUGCUCUAAAAAACAAACAAACAAAUAAACAAACAAAAACCCUCAAACAUGUAGAAUUCAUAUUCUUGAAUGUGUAGCACAGAGAUUUUUCCCCUUCCCUUUAAGAUCCCAUUCCUCAGGAUUGUGCAAGUGCCUGCAGCUGAUGCUCAGAAUAUUCCUACUGUUCUGAUGCAUUAAAUGGGUCACUUCAAAUUUAGGGACCAUAGGAUUUAAUGUUUCAGAUCAGGAUCACAGUAUAUUCCUGUUUUGAUGGUGGCCAGUCCAAAAUGUCAGCAGGGAUUGAGCUAGCUGUACUGUAGAAGUAUACACUAUUUUUUUUUUUUCCCCCCAGAUACUAUGUUUUCAGAAAAAUGCCAUUGCAUAUCAGCAAUUUCAGUUGGCUUAAAAGACAAAGUGGAUUUUUUUAGUUUUUCAUUUAGCUUUCUGCUUUUGCAUCCCCGAUAUAACAACUUUGUAACAUUUAUUUUGGAGCAAACUUGUUGUUCAGUCAGCAAACCAAAAAAUGAGUCACACAGUUCCCUUUAACUACAUGUACAUGCAGAUUCACAAUUUCAUUUUCUGUCUUGUGUGUGUUACCUGAUAUAUUAACAUGCUUUCCUAGUCUUCUCCUACUCUUUUGCUUUUCUGUAGCUGCUGGAGAGACUUUUGUUGGAGCUUUUUUUGUGCUGAAGCAAACCCUGUCAACAGAGUGCAAAAGCAUGUUUAAUGGCCUCUAGCUGGCUGCAGAUGCCCACAUUUCUGAAUGGUGCUCAACAUCAGAAAACCGAACGUACUAUUAAUUAAAGCUUUCUUUUCAAAUGAUGCCAAAAUAGAAUAUUUUCUAGAAAGACUCCACUUUCGCUCCAACAUGAAGUAGGAUGAAAGACAUUUACUCUGUGAUUUCAUUUGCAUUCUCUGAAGUGACUCUGUGAAAUGUCCUUUGGUAAUAAAGAAAGUACUUGUUGCUGAAAACCUAAAACAAAGUAUUGCUUGUCAGACUCUAUACAGUGUAUUUACAAAUGUGAGUCUCGCAUGCGAAAAAUUAGUGAUGGUGUAAAAUAGGACAUGUAAGGUCACACACUUACUGGUUAGAAGAUCCUAAAAGGGGAAAUUUUUCCAACCACAUUAAAUCAUUCACACUAAAUACCUAUCUUAAGGUUAUUAUACAAUAACAUGCAAGGAUUUAUAUUGGGCAUAUGAAAGAGGUGUAGACAGUACUGAAUAGAGCUAAAGUGACUGAUUUUUUUUUUUUCAGAGUUAAGAAAACAGCGUAUUUUGAGUUUUACAAUGUAGCACUGCAUUUUACAGUACUUCAUUUUGUGCUCCUACAUCCCUGUAAUGCUUCAUGAAGAUUCUUUUUAAAUUUUGCUUUCCUUUUAUACUUACAUAUAUACAUAUAUAUGUGAAAAAAAAAAAAGAAAAAGAGUGUUUAAAUAAAUUGUAAAUGAUUGGUGAAAUUCA